rnacentral:rRNA from 1 species
AGGACAGACUAAUGCGAAGGCAUUUGACAAAGAUGCUUUCAUCGAUCAAGAACGAAGGAAGGGUCAGCGAAAACGCUUAGAUACCGUUGUAGUCCCUUCUGUAAACUAUGCCAAUUGGGAAUUGGUCUAGCAUCAUUAUGACUAGAUCAGCGCCCGAAGAGAAAUCUCAAAUGAGGUUCGGGGGGGAGUAUGGUCGCAAGGCUGAAACUUAAAGGAAUUGACGGAAGGGCACCACCAGGUGUGGAGCCUGCGGCUUAAUUUGACUCAACACGGGAAAAC